GAUGAAGAACGUAGCGAAAUGCGAUAAGUAAUGUGAAUUGCAGAAUUCAGUGAAUCAUCGAAUCUUUGAACGCACAUUGCGCCCGCCAGUAUUCUGGCGGGCAUGCCUGUUCGAGCGUCGUUUCAACCAUCAAGCCCCCGGCUUGUGUUGGGGACCUGCGGCUGCCGCAGGCCCUGAAAAGCAGUGGCGGGCUCGCUGUCACACCGAGCGUAGUAGCAUACAUCUCGCUCUGGGCGUGCUGCGGGUUCCGGCCGUUAAACCACCUUCAUAACCCAAGGUUGACCUCGGAUCAGGUAGGAAGACCCGCUGAACUUAAGCAUAUCAAUAAGCGGAGGA
rnacentral:misc_RNA from 1 species